UACGGAGGAUCCAAGCGUUAUCCGGAUUUAUUGGGUUUAAAGGGUGCGUAAGGCGGCCUAUUAAGUCAGGGGUGAAAGACGGUGGCUCAAACCCAUCGCAGUGCCUUUGAUACUGAUAUGGCUUGAUUACACUAGAAGGUAGGCGGAAUGUGACAAGUAGCGGUGAAAUGCAUAGAUAAUGUCACAGAACACCAAUUGCGAAAGGCAGCUUACUAUGGUGUCAAUGACGCUGAGGCACGAAAGCGUGGGGAUCAAACAGG
rnacentral:rRNA from 1 species